UUUUCGUCAAGAGAAGACUCGUCGUUGGGUGGUAGCAGAACUAGACAGCUGCCAAGAAACGGCAUGUUGUUUUGAAGUGGGCACGUAGCUUCUCUCAUCUCACGUCUCCUUUCUAAGACAACACAGGAGAGAACAAGAACAAGAAGAGAGCAAGAAAGACAACAUUUGUAGCUACAACAAGAUACAACGAUAAGGGAAACUAAGAAGAACAAGAAAGGUAUUUCAUUUGGCAUUUUGAUACAACCAGGCUUGUGGGAAAUUAAAGGUUCUGAGCAUUCAUGAGUAUCUGACAUAGCUAUAUCCAACGGUCCAAUAAGUGAUGGAUUGACUUGCUAAAGGAAAACUAUUUGUAGAAUUAUUUGGAAAAAUUUGAGUCCGAUUAAAUGGUCAGAUCUCUUGUUAUCUUUGUUAUAAGAUGCUAACCUAGUCUGAUGCAAACAGAUCUUCUCUUGGAUUUAGAAUUGUCAUCCUGGUCCAUAAAAGCAUCUAACAUGUCAUUCACAUAGUCUCUUUGGGUCAGAUCCCUAUAUGAUUGUGUUAGAUCCUCACUCGAAUACUCAACCUUCAAU